CACCGUGAUGACGUAGUUCCCGCAGUACGGACACAGGUAGCUUAUGGGCACGGGAGUCGCCAACAUAGGCACACCGCUGAACACAGCUUGGGGGCGGGAAGGGGCGGGUCAGACCUCACACCCCUCUCCUCAGCGUCCACCACUGGGUGGACCCUCGCAUGGCCUGUG
ensembl:miRNA